GCCACAUAAAGGAAGAGCAGUGACUCUCGAGAGCUGGCAUCCCAGGGUGACUUCACCAUGGGCUGUCAUCGCUGAGGCCAUAAAAAGCCAAAAGCACUACCCUUGAGUCAUCCUAGCCCCUUGGAGCCAAAAACGUAGCAACGUCACGUCUGUAGUUGACCUCGGUUCCGGGCACCUUCCUGAGCAUUCUUCGGGAGGCACUUGUGAAACUCAGCCCAGGUGCUGCCCAGGAUCAGGAGGCUGAGACGUGAUCUGGAAGUGAGUGCCCAUCCAUACACCUUCCCCAGCUUUGGGGCCACAGAGGGACAGAAACCGCAGGCAGGCUGGCCUGGGAAUGAACCUACACCAGCCUGAAGUCAGAAGAGCCUCUAGGAGCCUCCAGCCUGGACUCUUUUUACAGAUGGGGAAACUGAGUCCCAGAGAGGGAGCAAUGAAGGAUGUCUAAGGUCAUCAGCAACGUAAAGCCAACAGCAUCAUCCUGAGUCAUGUUUGAACCUGAGUGAGCCCUGAAGCAUGGCAUUGAGAAGCUGCCUAAGAAGGAGGCAGAUCCAUCAGCCUGGGUGCCCGACUGAUUACCCUGAGCAGAGCUCCCCAGCCCACCUGUGAUGGACGCAUGGAGCUUGAGCAAGGAAUAAAUAUUCGUUGCUGGACUCUGAUUACACUGGACCUAUCCAAGAUCUGAGAUCAUCAACUCAUCUCAAAAUCCUUAAGCUGACCACAGCAGCAUCGUCCCUUUUGCAGUGUAAGGGAGCCCAGCUGGGACAAUGUGUGAAUCAACGCAUGAAGGAGUGAGUGAGCAGCUAACCAAAUGAAAGAAUACUCAGAUAUCUGGGGUACAGUUCCCCUCCAGGUUUGCACAGCAUCUGCUGAAGUCUCCACUAGAAACUCAAUGGAAGGUCCCCACCGGAAACUGAAAGUCUCCUAGAGUGGCUUUGAGUUGCGGUUUCACCCUCCCUGCAGAUCCACAGGGGAGGCUGGGGCAGAUGGAAAAUACCAACUUGAUGGUCUGUGGCCACACCAUGCUGCUCCCCAAGGCCCCUCAGAAUUUCACUGCCCAAUAUGGUAGCGCCCAGCCUGAAACGUGGCCAGUGUGAAUUGAGAUGGGCUGGAAAUGCACCAGACUUCCAAGAGCUGGACAAAAACCAUAUACUUUCCAUCCAGCUGUUUGGCAUUGGAUACUGCUGCCUCUGCUUGACUUGAGAAUGUGUGAGAAAAGCUGUGUUUAGACAACUGAAAACCAUGAGCUUGAAAGUAGUGGGGGCACACUCUUGGAGACUCCAGUUGCUCACCAGCUUGGACAAACCACUGGACUCAAAUGAUCAGGUAGAAAUUCAUCACUGGAGAGAACACAGUGGAAUGGCUUCAGCGAAAACUCACUCUGAAGGUCUUCAGGGCAACUUUAAGACUUGCCCCUGGCCGGGCACAGUGGCUUAUGCCUAUAAUCCCAGCACUUUGGGAGGCCGAGGCGGGUGGAUCACCUGAGGUCAGGAGUUCAAGACCAGCCUGGCCAAUAUGGCGAAACCCUGUCUCUACUAAAAAUCCAAAAAAUUAGCCGGGCGUGGUCGUGGGCGCCUGUAAUCCCAGCAACUCGAGAGGCUGAGGCAGGAGAAUUGCCUGAACCCGGGAGGCAGAGUUUGAAGACAGCCGAGAUUGCACCACUGGGCAACAAGAGCAAAACUCCAUCUCAAAAAAAAAAAAAAAAAAAAAAAUACUUGCCCCGGCUUUUUGUGUGAUGGACUUUCUAUUUACAGACGUGAUAUUUAUCUAUGACUUUACUCAGAGUCUGGCUCAUAGACCAGAAGGACUGGUAUCUCCUGGAGCUUGCAGGAAAUGCAAAAUCUCAAACCCCUGUAUUAGUCAGGGUUCUCCAGAGAAGUAGAGCCAAUGGGAUAGAGACAGGGAUAGGGAUGAUAGAGAUGGAGAUAGAGGUAGAGAUCCAUUGAUUCCUCUGUUAAUAAAUUGGCUCAUGCAGUUGUGACAAUUUCGAAAUCUGCAAGGUAUGUCAGCAAGCUGGAGACCCAGGGAACAGUUGAUGUUGCACCUUGAGUACAAAGGCAGUGUGUCUGGAGCCAUAAUAUCUUCUUGUUAGGAAGACUUUGGUCUUUUCUCUUCUGGCCUUCAACUGCUUGGGUGAGGCCCGUCCCCACUACAGAAGACAAUAGUCUGUUCUACUCAGAGUCUACUGAUUUAAAUGCUCAUCUCAUCCCAAAAAAUACCCUCACAGCAACAUUUAGCCUGUGCAUUUGACCAAACAACUGGGUACCAUGCCCCCCCUCCCAAGUUGACACACAAAAUUGACCAUCAUACCCUCCCCACCCCCAGUCUUACUGAAUGAGAGAGAAUCUGUGCUUCAACAAGAUCCCCAGAAGAGGUAUAAGCGCAGGGAAGUCUGAGAAGCACCACCUUUGAGGCUUAUCCAGGAUGCCCACAUGAGCCUUCUCUGGAUAUGUCAGAUCCCCUUCCUGGCCCCCUAGACACCUCCUCCACUCCCCAAACUUGGAAGCAACAUUGUGGGGAAGCAGGCAGUGAGGCGCUCAGUCUACCACGUUGUGAGAUACACAGCUCCAUCUGUGUAUCAUGAUUUGAUCCAAGGGAAAACAAAAGAUCCAGAAACAUAAGUACUUUUUUGUGAGCUCUCAAAAACUUCCUGUGACAAGAUCAGGUCGUUGAUGCGAGAGCCACACUUGUUUCUUUUUCCUCUUUAUUCUCCACCUCUGACAUAAUACUUAGCAUAAAAAAAAAUCCAAUAAACACCACUGAAUCAAUUAUCUAAGCCUCAGUUUCCCUCUUGUAAUAUGUACUUACCUGGUUGUGGUAGGAAAGACACCAGGCAUGAGAAACACUUAAAAGCCCAGGACCCUGAGCUGGGCACAUGGUAGGUACUCAGGAAGUCAUUGCCGAGUGUUCAGUGCAUGCUUGUUGAAUGAGUAAAUGAGGUCAGGCUUCAGCAUGCAAACACUCGCUAUAAAGCAGGAACCCUGUGCCCUGAGUGCACAAAAUAGAUAUCGAGAAGGAACACAGGCUCAGACAUCAGUGCCAUAUCUGAAGACAUUCAGCUAAUAACAGGAUGGAGUCCAAUCUGCUGGUGUGUGCACACCUGUGCCUGGGUGUCUUUGCUGGUGUGUGCACAUGUGUCUACAUGUGUGGUCGUGAGAGUACACACAGGGGCUGGAGGGUGGGGAAGGGCUUAAUCUAAUCCUGAAAGUGCCAGCAGAACUCUUGGGUGUCCCUCAAAGUCAAGCUUCUUUCCAGGUCAUCGAAGUUUUCACUUGGGUAAUAAUGCACGCAUAAUUAACUGAACAAAUAUAAUGAAUCUAUCUGUAGUGACAUGAUAGUUGGUGCUGAAUCCUAUUAGAGCACAUUUAAUUAAAAAUGCAUUAAACCUUCAAGCUUCUAAACACACCCUGCGCUUCUUCAAAGCCGCCCCUCCGUUAAAGUCUUCCCCACUAUUAACUAUGAGUCAGCCUGUGACCCUUUGGGCAUGACGGGGUGAGGUGAAGUGGCUCUUAAAUGCCUGUGCCAGUAUAUCACAGGCACUAAUGGAUUUAAAUCAGGGAGAUUAAUUCCAUUCAUUCGGCUCCUCAUUUCAGAAACAACUGUCACGCUGAGCCUAAUUGCUGAAGAUGGUUGAAGGCACCAGGAGGCUGGAGUUUCCUGGAGGUGGUUUGUGGCCAACCGUCAAUUACUUGGGCUGCUGUGCAGUGGGGAUAGAAGGAUGAUUAGAAUCCACAGACAACCCAUUGGCCUUUGUUUACCAUUAACUUCUGUUUUCUCCACCAGCCAAGCUCCUCCAGACCCAGGAGAUGGCUCUUCCCUCUGUGUAGCACACUCUUUCCAGUCAAGGGGUCUUGCACUGCUAUUUCCCCUUCUGCUUUGCUUGGUUCAUUCUUACUGACCCUCCAAAUACUGAAGGAAUGAAUGGAGAAAUAAGUAAAUGAGAGAUGUGGCCAAGAGUCUCCAAGAGAGGAAAUUAAAAAAUCCUAUACCUGUGAGGAACUGGCCCACUUGCAAAAGGCGGACUCAUUUGUCACUGUGUUUGCUGGCUGCUCGCACCACACAGUUUCCAGCCUAGGCAUUAUUUCCAACCUCUUUUUCCAAAGGGUCUUUCUAAGGUACAGAAAAUGGACAUAAAAUCGCCCAACGUAGUUGAGAGGUAAGGAGUAAAAGCCGGAAUUUGAACUCCUAAUCUCCUGCCACGAUUUCAUGCUGCCUCUGGGUAAUCUCCCAGCACGUUGCUUAAUCAGCUGCUGAGUCAUUGAGAGCCGGCAGAACCAGCUUCCUGCUGAGGCAGAGUGGGAGGAGGCCCGUCUGGGAGCAGCACACUGAAGGAAGGGAGGAGGAGGUGAUGUUUGGCACAAUCGGAUUGGUUCCCAUGAGGUCCAGGGCUGCGGCUCCUACAGAAGGCACUUUUUGCAUAUGGUAGGCUUCACGGGGUGCAACCUCUGUGUUGUUAGGAGAACCUCGUGCUUGCUAUGAUGCUCUGCUGUCAUUAUCUUGAAAUUCUUAGUCACAUUAAAACACGGGAGCCUACAUGUUUAUUUUGCACUGGAUCCUGCAAAUUAGCCAGUCCUGGUACUGAGGGCAGGUCCCUGGGUGAGUCUCACACAGCCUCCAUCCUUUGGUAAAGCAGCUUUCCUGAUUUAGCAAAUGCCUUACCAGAAAGCCUUUUCCUUGAAGAUGCUUUAACUUUUGUCUUCCCUGGCAAAGCUGUUUCCUUAUGGUAAAGCACCCAGCUCAUAGCUGAUAUUCAAUCCAUGAAGUAGCUCUGUCAGCAGCUGUCAUCAUGAAGACUUUGCAGCCUGCGGGUGGUAGCAUUCUGAAUCGUCAGUCUGUCUCGCUCCUGUAGCAAAUGCACGAUCCGGGAAAGCAUGUCCCAAGCUUUGUUCUGGAGAAGAUUUCUCCAGCUAUCAGAUGGUGUCUGUCAUCACAAUAGCUUAGGAGAUGCUGCUCACUCCAUCCUCCUCACUAAGUGUCACAGUACACUUGGGUAUGUACAAGUCUCUGAGAAGUCCAGCAGCAAAGACACCUUUGUGUUUUGCUGAUUCUAGCCUUUCCUAGACUAGAAGUCUUUUUUUCUAGUCUAGGAAAAGACUGUGGAAUCUUUUCUUUUUUUUCCUGAUACACACAUUCACAUUCCGUGGAACAUUUAGGACGUGGUUAUCUGGUCCUAAAGUAGUAAAGGUGAAGAUGUUGUGGGAGGUGCAAGAAAGAGCAGCAAGGAGUAGAUGGGGCACACUGCAAAGUGCGAUCCCCACAUACCUAAGUUAGUAUCAAUUACUACUAACAAAACUCGGCCAAGACUCUUUUGCAUUCGUUUUGUUUCUCUCUUUUACCCUGAUUAUAUUAAGAAAUAUGACAGGCCUGUGACUCACUGAUUAGACCAUCUUAGUCACUUUGGGUUGUCCCAGCAACAGGAGACUUAACUCUGACCAUAGGUAAGGAGCCCAGAGGACAGGAGAGCAGGGAUUUCUGAGGAUUUAACAAAUGCUUAUAAACAAAUGAUAUCACUUUGAACAAAGUAAUCAAAGUAUCAAAUGCUAUAAACACCACAGUAGGGCAAUGUGUGAAUCAUACUUGUGGUGAGACAUACAUAGAUCAGCUGCAAAGAGGAACUCAAUUCUGCAGAACCUCAGCUGGAGUAACUGAUGUGAAACAUGGACAGGGAAAUGGAAGGAAGUCAGCGGACACGGAAACUCUAGGAACUGAACUUUGACAAGGAACGCCGUCCAUAAUCCCAAGUCCUAUGACUUCAUAGAGGAAAAAAACCCUAGUGGAGCAGAACAGGGCCUCAUAGAGGGGCUGGGGCCUCACUGAGGGCUGGGAAGUUUGAUAGGACUUCCCUUGCUGGUAAGGAACAAAACUGGGUCUCAGGUUCAGGUUUGUAAAGCUAAUUUCAUACAUUUGCAGCAGAUGCUGUCAGUGUCCCUCCCCAAGCCCCUCAGCACUCAGCAUUCAUAGACAUCCUCAUCUUGCAAGCACCUGAGUCUCUCUCUGUAAGGUUUCUGUUGGCCUCAGGGCAGACCAGGGUACCAGGGAGGGCAGACCAGGGUACCAGGGAGCACAGCCCUCAAAGAAAGAUGACAGGAGUUGGUGUAAAUCUCAUGGCUUUCAUGUUACUUAGGGGGACCAAUGCUGAGGCAUGCUUAGCAUGAUCCUCUGUGAGACUGGGCCUCAGGUGUCCGCUGCAGCCGCCUGUUCAUUAGUGUGACAUGCACGGGAUUCCUUCCGUAUCCUGGCCCCUUUCUCUACUUCCCAACCGUGCUUCCUGAGACAUACUCAAAUCCUUGUCUCACACUUGGCUUCUGGGAGAAUCCAACUGCAAAUGCUGUGUUUUAUUUUUUAUUUAUGUAUUUAAUUAUUUGGAGAUAGGGUCUCCCUCUGUCACCCAGGCUGGAGUAAAAUGGCACAAUCCUAGCUCACUGCAAUAUUAAACUCCUGGGCUCCAGUAAUCCUCAGCCUCCAGGAGCUGGAACUACAGUCGUGCACAGCAAUGCCAGCUAAAGUUUCCUUUAAAUUUUUUGUAGAGUCAAGAUCUCACUAUUUCAGUCAGGUCUUGAACUCCUUGCCUCCCAAAGUUCUGGGAUUACAGCACUUGGCCUCCCAAAGUGCUGGGAUUACAGGCGUGAGCCACUGCAUCUGGCUGUUUAUUCCAUUAAAAUGAUUGAAGGAGUCUCUUGCUUUGGGAAUUUUGCUCCCGUGGUGAGAACACUAUGGGAAUGACAUCUCAAGAAUAUGGCUCCUUCAAAUGAAUUUAAAAUGGUCUUUCUAUUUUUGUCCAGUGGUUACAAUAGCUGAUGGGCUCGAGGUAAGGAGAUGCUAAGCUGCCAUUCUCUCCUUCAACCCAUGGCAUUUACUGAGCUUCUAAAUCAGUCAGGCCCUGGGCUGGACCCUGGGCAUGCAGACUGAAUCAGAGCCUUCAGGACUAGCAGGAGAGACAGGUAUAUAUAGUGGCAAGGGCAAUAUUUAUUCACUCAUUCAUUCUUUUUCCUUUUUUAUGUGCCAAAUCUUUAAUGAGGGCCUACCUUGUACUCAGGAACACCAGGAAUAAACAGAAAACAAAAAGAUAUCAUUUCUGGACUCAGUUCACCAUCUAGAGAAAAAAAAAAAAAAAAAAAAAGACCUGAAAUGGACAAAUACAGUACUGUUUGACAAAUGUCACGUAAGAAGAAGCCCAUGAUACUGAGGAUGGUAUAGGAGGGGCCGUAUCCAGGUUGAAGGAGUCAAAUAUGACAGCUGCCGUGAGAAUUACAAUCAGAAAACCAUGACCCGGAUGCUUAUCCUAUUCAUUGCUUGAGCCUGAGAACACAAACACACAGGGUGUGGCUGAAAUUCCUCUGAAAUUGUAUUGAUUUGAGAAAACUGCAAUCUUGUGUUAAAAUGUGAAUCAUACACAAGGAUGCAAAACAGUUACCGCUGACCAUAAAUCUAGGCUAUCAGAAUGGAAUCUGAUGGCUUGUCUACCAGACUGCAUUGUGAAACCAAUCAAAUGGGAGAUAGACUCACCACUUACCAAGUACCUCUGAGACACCAGGCACCCUGUGGGGUGCCCUACUCAUCAUCUUGUUUAACCAGUUGAUUGGGAAUAGCUCCAUUUUACAGAGAAAGACUGUUAGGCAGCUUUCUAAGAUGGCCCUAAUUAUUCCUUCCUUCUGGUAAUCCCCUUCCUUUAAAUGUGGGCUACACUUAAUUACCUGCUUUUAACAAACAGAAUAUAGCAAAAGUGAUGGGAUGUCAGGAGACUGAAUCAGUAACCAAAAACCUCCAGACAAAGAAAAGCCCAGGGCCAGAGGGCUUCACUGGUAAAUUUACCAAACAUUUAAAGAAGAAUUAGCACCAGUCUUUCUCAAACUCCUCAACAAAUUGAAGAGGAGAGAACACUUCUAAAUACACUUUAUGAGGCCAGCAUUACCCUAACAUCAGAGCCAGACAAAGACACAAGAAAAGAAAACUACAGACUAAUAUUUCUAAUGAAUCUUGAUGCACAAAUCCUCAAAAAAGAAGAAAACAUACUAGCAAACAUAAUUCAGCCGCACAUUAAAAGGAUUAAGCACCAUGACAAAGUGGGAUUUAUUCUUAGUAUAAAAGGAUAUUUCAACGUAAAAAAGUCAAUGUAAUAUAUCACAUUAAUAGAAUGAUGAGAAAAAAUCCACAAGAUUAUCCCAAUUGAUGCAUUUAACAAAACUUAAUACUCUUUCAUGAAAAAACACUCAACAAACCAGGAAUACAUGAAACUACCCCAACAUAAGACAGUCCACAAAUGAAAAGCUCACAACCAACAUAAUACUCAUGGUGAAAAGCUGAAAGCUUCCUCUAAGAUCAGGAAUGAGACAAAAAUGUCCACUUUUGAAUCAACCUGUAUUCAACAUAGUAUAAGAAGUCCUCGCCAGAAUUUUCAGGAAAAAAAAAAAAGAAAGAAAAAAAAGCCAGUCAAAUUGAAAAGAAAGAAGAAAAAUUAUCUUUGCUCACAAAUGACAUGAACUUAUAAAACUCCUAGAAUUAAUAAAUGGAUGCUGCAAUGUUGAAGGAUACAAAAAUCAACACACAAAAAUCAGUUAUGUUUUUAUAUACUAACAAUGAAUGAGCCAAAAAUGAAAUUAAAACAAUUCCAUUUACAAUAGCAUCAGAAAGACUAAAAUACCUAACAAUAAACUUAACCAAGGAGGUAAAAUGCUUGAGUAUUUAGACACUAAAAAUUAUAAGGCCUGCACGGUGGUUCAUACCUGUAAUCCCAGCAUUUUGGGAGGCAGGUGGAUCACUUGAGGUUAGGAGUUUGAGACCAGCCUGGCC
rnacentral:lncRNA from 10 species